rnacentral:lncRNA from 1 species
GUUGUGGUUGGGGGAACAGAAAAGAGAGGCUGGGGGCUGUUUGUGAGGCGUUCUGCCGCGGGAAACGCGGGCUUGGCGGGGACGCGUGUCUGGAGGUGCAAUUUCACACGUUCAACCCCCCCUUUGUUAUUCGGACGUGCAUUAUACACCGAAAACAUUUAGUAAUUGAAAGCUUUAAUUUUAUAUGCACUGUAAAGAGUACACAUGCCCAAUAUAUACCAUCGUCAUUAUAAUUAUUCUUUGUUACCCAGUCUUCACCCCAAAGUCCCAGGGCAAGUUACAACAGUUAAAACGUGGUAUGAAAAACAGUUUAAAACGACUUAAAAUUGCCGAAGUGAAGUGGGUCCUAAAAACACGCAUCUGGAGUGUCAAAAGAAGUACAUGAUUUAUAAGGCGCAGUGCUUUCUAGAGUGUCGGUCUUAGGAUAGUGUCAGCCUAUGAGCGUAUAAAGUUCCAUGCGUCAAAAUACCAGCUUUGAUCGCACUUCAGUGCCCUCACAAUAUCUCCCUAACCCUUUGCAUUUACAAGUAGUAAACAUUAUUUUUACUACUGGUAAAACUGUUCCAAUAAAAAAAUUCAUACACAUGUAGGAAGAAAGCAACUCCCAAGUAUCACAAUUCAGCAAGCAAAACCAUCUCCGGGACUUGUUUUCUUUUUGCAUAAUAGAUAGAAUCUCAAUGAAAUGUUUACUAAAAGAAAAAAUACAGGAAAAUAUGCGGACUCUAAGUCUGCCUUGAGUUCCCAGCAUGGGUGGGAUGACUUUAGCUUUGUGUGACAUACUUUUCAACAAUGAAACUUAUAAAAGACUUAACGGUAAUCUGGGUAGGCACCUUUUGUUAUUGGAUAGUGGGCCUGUGCCUUUAAAUGGCUAACUGGCAGUCAGAAAUUCAGCUGUACAUCUUUUAUGAGCAAUUCAAUUUGACAUUGUUAGCUAAGUUUCACAGGAGCUGCAAGGUAACCUUGAGGCAUUGUCUAUGCAAAUCAUUUUACAGAAAAUUUUCUUUUACUUGAUACUAGCAAUUGUUGGUGAUCUGGAGUACUUUGUGGAUAAGCUAGAGGGCACUGAAGUAUAUUUCCAUGCUUAGCUGCAUAAGGAAGUUGCAGACUCAGAAGGCACUGCAUUAAACAACCUAUUUUAUUGCUGUUUCUUUCCUAAUUGAAGAGAGAGAGAGUGUGUGUAACAUGUUUACACCUGAAAAGUGUUAUUCAUCUUCUUGGAAGGUAGUAGAAGUCUCCAUAUUGCUUUGGCAAAAGCUGUUGGGACUUCUAUGGCUCUGCCUGCCGUUUCCCCCAAUCCUUUUCUCUGAAGCUCUGUGGCAUCUUAGAAGACUAAAUAGAUUUUUUAUGUAGGGCAGUUCUCUUUCUUCUGGCAGGUAACCCUCCCUUGAGAAAUGUCAUCAAGAGACACCAGUUUGUUCUUUCGCAACGUUCUUGUAAUAUAUAUCUCAUUAAUGCUGAGGCCUUUAGUGACAAUAUUUCUUUCCUCUAAUAAUAGCUCUUCGGAAGUAUUUUAGGAAUCUUUCAUGCAAUUAAGGAUGUGCUUUGUUCAGAAUUAAAAAAAAGAGGGGGUUGAUUGUUUAUAGUAGUAAAUGUGUGUUUUAAAAGAGGGGGGUGGAGUAGGAACACAGGAAAUCAAUUCCUCAUACAGCAUGAAUCACUUACAUUCUUGGCAGCCAAGCUCAAGUUUACAAGAAUGCUCAGUUUGAUCAACUUCCUUCGAAAUAUUGUAAGCUGAGAGCACAAAAGUGGUUGGGGAGAACAGAACAGGAGAAAAAAGAUACAUGCAUGGAUCUGUGUAGAAGGCUUAACAAAUGACAAGGAAGCAGUUAAUGUAGUAAAUAAAUGUUCUUGCUCAAAAUAUGUUGCAAAUUUACUAUUGAACUAGUGGUCAGGUGAGCAAAAAGCAAAAAGGUAUACUCCUAAAGCUUUUUUGCAUUGCAGAAAUGGGAGAAGAAGUGAGAGCUGAAAAUCAAGUUCACAUUUUGAAUGUGUUGCCCAUUAUGAUUCUGCUUAAAGGCAUUAUUUUGCCCAUUGUUGUUGUUGUUUAGUCAUUUAGUCGUGUCCGACUCUUCGUGACCCCAUGGACCAGAGCAUGCCAGGCACUCCUGUCUUCCACUGCCUCCGCAGUUUGGUCAAUCUCAUGCUGCUAGCUUCAAUUCUUCGGCAAUCAGCCUUCUUUAUGGUCCAGCUCUCACUUCCAUACAUCACUACUGGGAAAACCAUAGCUUUAACUAUACAGACCUUUGUUGGCAAGGUGAUGUCUCUACUUUUUAAGAUGCUGUCUAGGUUUGUUAUUGCUUUUAUCCCAAGAAGCAGGCGUCUUUUAAUUUCGUGCCUGCUGUCACCAUCUGCAGUGAUCAUGGAGCCCAAGAAAGUAAAAUCUCUCACUGCCUCCAUUUCUUCCCCUUCUAUUUGCCAGGAGGUGAUGGGACCAGUGGCCAUGAUCUUCGUUUUUUUGAUGUUGAGCUUCAGACCAUAUUUUGCGCUCUCCUCUUUCACCCUCAUUGAAAGGUUCUUUAAUUCCUCCUCACUUUCUGCCAUCAAGGUUGUGUCAUCUGCAUAUCUGAGGUUGUUGAUAUUUCUUCCGGCAAUCUUAAUUCCGGCUAGGGAUUCAUCCAGCCCAGCCUUUCGCAUGAUGAAUUCUGCAUAUAAGUUAAAUAAGCAAGGAGACAAUAUACAGCCUUGCUGUACUCCUUUCCCAAUUUUGAACCAAUCAGUUGUUCCAUAUGCAGUUCUAACUGUAGCUUCUUGUCCCACAUAGAGAUUUCUCAGGAGACAGAUGAGGUGAUCAGGCACUCCCAUUUCUUUAAGAACUUGCCAUAGUUUGCUGUGGUCGACACAGUCAAAGGCUUUUGCAUAGUCAAUGAAGCAGAAGUAGAUGUCUUUCUGGAACUCUCUAGCUUUCUCCAUAAUCCAGCGCAUGUUUGCAAUUUGGUCUCUGGUUCCUCUGCCUCUUCUAAAUCCAGCUUGCACUUCUGGGAGUUCUCGGUCCACAUACUGCUUGAGCCUUCCUUGUAGAAUUUUAAGCCUAACCUUGCUAGCGUAUGAAAUGAGUGCAAUUGUGCGGUCAUUACUAAGAGGCAAAACUGGAGUCAAUUCCAGCUGAGCCAAUUCCAGACGAGAGUACCUAUACUAUAUAUAUAUAUAUAUAUAUAUAUAUAUAUAUAUAUAUAUAUAUAUAUUAUAUAUAUAUAUGCAUCAUUUUUAAGUAUACACUUAGCGUGUUUUAUGUAUAUAUCUAAAAGGGUAAAUUAUGAAGCGUUUCUAAAUUGUUUGGGCUGGUCAAGACCAGCAGAGGGACUGUAGCAGCCCCUGUCUUGGUGAACAAUCAGUAAUGCAACAAGAAACUGAGCAAAUGAGUAAGAAAUAAAGCACAACGGAGCUAAAAUACCUACUUCCCAUAAACACUGAUGGGAUCUGAGAACUGCACAUGACUAACUCAAAAAGAGCGCAUUGGGUUGCGUUGUACAGCUCAUUGAAAAUACCAUCUCGGUGUGUGGUGACGGGGGGGGGGGGGAGCAAAUUCCAUACCACAGAUGAUUUUAAAAGGUUUUGAAAACAAAACUGCUAGUAAGGCUCUGGUGGUGGGAACUUCCCAUGCCUGGACUUCUGCUAAUGAGACAUUCCUGUUGAAAGAAAAAGAUAUUGCACAGUGGUAGAAGAUCUGCCUUGUGGGCAGAUUCAAUCUGCGGGUAAAGCUGGAAGAGACUCAAACCCUGGAGAGAUGCUGCCAGUCACUGCAAGCAAUUCUGAGUUUGAGGGACAAAUAGGCUGAUUCAGUAUAAGGCAGCUUCUUAUGUUCCUGUGUUUUUUGUUCCAGAAAGGAGGGAUUGCAUGUUCUGCUGGUUUCCCCCCAGCUCCUUUGCUCCUUGAAAAUCUGCUCUGGAAGGUUUGGGGACCCUCCAGAGAAGCAUGAGAGGCAGUGGGUGGGGAGAAGAGAUUGGCCAAAAGAAUCUGUUCCCUCUGCUUGAUCCAAAUUCCAUCCUUGAAUGGGAGCACACAGAGGACUAGUUGGGAUCCGAGGCAUAUUUUUAUAGAUUUGGUGUCGCUCCAUGUACUGUUUCAUUUCCCCCCGUUUUGAAAAAGGAUAUGAUAAAAGCUCUGCAUCUCCUUUACAUCUGCAGGUGUAGCAGUGGACGUGCUGGACCGUUUGUCUUUCCUUGGUAAUGGACUGGAUGAGAGCCAACAAAAUGAAGCUCAGACAGGAGAAGACCGAAGCACUCUUUGUGGGUGGUCAAGGACUAGAAUGGAUGGGAGAUGACCUGCUCUUGAUGAGGUUACACUCCCACAGAAAGGAGCAGGUAUGUAGCUUGGGGGUACUUGUGGAUUCAUUGCUGUCCUUUGACGGUCAAGUGGCCUCGGUGGCUGGAGUGCCUUGCAUAAGUGGCCCACUACUCCCCUAUCUGGCCAGGGGUAGCCUAACUUCUAUUGUCUAUACUCUGGUAAUGUGUUGUAUCUGGGGCUGCCUUGUGGAAUUCAGCAGCAUUGGAUGUAUUUAAAUGAGGAAUUAUAAAAUUCUAGAAUAGAAUAACACAGUAAUUCUUUCCUGUAUAACUAGGUUGGGAAGGGGUAGAGGAGAAAAGCUUUGCCAGAGCUCUUUGUCCACCAUGGAGACCCCCACUAUGCUUGUGUGAAAUCCUUUGGGCAUAGAUCUACUGCUGGCAUUAACUAGUGUUAAGCCCUGAAACUGGGCAUUCCAGGGGUGGGACAGAAUCAGCCCUAAAUCUGUUUGAUCCAUGGAGGCUGGUUCAUUAGGGCAUAUGGGGCAGUGUCCCACCAGUGUCAAGCUUUUUAUUUCUUGCUGCCAUCACAGUGAGGUCUUCUGGUCAUUCUGAGUUAACUGGGUGACCUGCUUUAUUUUAGACAGCCAAAAUGGACUUGUAAUCAACCAGAAGGGUUGCUGCUGUGUGAGGUUAAAGUAUUUACUGUUAUUUUAAUGUCUUUCUGCCAGCAAAUGCCUUAAGUCACUGACAGCAAUGCUUUCUUAUGUAUGUUUACCCAUAAACAAGACCCACUGUGUUCAGUGAGGCAUACGCCCAGGUAAAUGUGCCUAGCAAUGCAGCCUGAAUGAAGCAACUCUACUCUUAAGCUUCCAUAUAAAUCACUCAGAGCUCAAUUUAUUGAUCCACACAAAAACAUUUUAAUAUUUUUAACUGUUAAUUUUAAUUGUUCUCAGUAGUUUUUACUGAUAAUUUUAAUAUUUAUUGUAAACCAAUUUGAGGCUUUAUUACAAUCAACAGUAUGUAAAUUUUGAUAAUUAAUUAAAAAGAGAACUAAGGUGGCAGUUCUGGCUCUUGUCAGGAGGGCCCCCACAACUAACAAACCAAGCUAAACUCUGGCACCAGCAAUAGCUUUGAGCUUAGAAAUCUGUCUAAUGCAGUAGUUUGCAAACUCCCACAUACACCCCAGUCCUAUUGAAAAAUGCUGAAGGUCUUGGCAGACCACUUAGGGUAUUUCUGCCCACUGCAGUGAUUGUGAUACCCUGUGCUAUAUGCUGUAUGAUUUUAAACUCUAUUUUUUGAUGCUUUUAUUUUUUUCUAUACUGUAUUUUGUAAAGAAAUAGAAUUCAAAUUGUAAUACAGUAUAAGAAAUAAAAGAAGCCAUACAGAUACCAUUAAAAAGGAGUACGACUAUAGAAUGAGGGAUGUGUCGUCGCCUGUUUUCAACCACAAAUCCACAAGUGUGCCCCCGACCACCUGAAUGAACCUUGUGGACCACAAUUUGGGAACCCCUGGUCUAAUGCUUUCACAAACUUCUGCAUGGGAGAAUAAGGAUGCAGUCAUGAAAUCCUUCCACUGAAAAAUAUAUAUCGUCUUUCCACAGCUGUGGUUUUAUUUCAUCACAAGAGGCGCACGUGCAUAGAACACAGAAGAAUUGUGGGAGUUCCUUGCCUUAUGGUGACAUUUCCGUGGGGAAAGGAAGAACACAAUAAUAAGAUUCACUGACUAUGUGUGCAUAUAUUAAUUCCUGUAAAAUAGUCAUUGGAAGUCAUGCUUCCAUUUCUCCUGAAACCCAGGAGAAAAAUAAUUAUUCUGUUGUAAAUAUUUGGCUGGAGGGUUUUUGUAACAAACCUUAAUGUUUUCAUAGAAAUCAGCGAGUGACUAAUGCUUGGGAGCUGACUGAAUUCAUUCCAAGACCAAGAGUUAUGAUACUGUGCUUUGAGCUAGCUUCCUUUCACAUUACCACUCUGUCAAGUAGAGCCCUGACCUUUCAGGACCACCCUCUUCAGGAAUGGAGGUCAUUCUGCCUGCAUCCUGUCUCACGAAGGCACACCCCUCCCCCUCCAAGUGCAAGAGAGUUUCUGCUGCAGACGGACUGUGACAUUCUGCUUCCCUGUACAGAUUCUGCUAUGGAUUUAUGUUUGCCAGUGAAACACAACAGUGGUGAAGCGAACAUGAAUAAAAACACACACAGCAAAAGCAACACAGUACUGUAACAGCCUUUCACUUGGAAAUGCAUCAUGAGCUACUGAAAUAGACGGCAGAGGAGCUGGAAGUGUACCAUUAAUAGACAAGCUGCAUCUUCCUUACUUAGAUACGGUGUGGUAUGAUACUAAACUGAGCACUAUUUCUGGGGUUCUCUUCAUCUCUAGCAGUGUUUCUCUACUAACUUGUGAUGCUUUUCUUAGAGCCAGUUCCCUGUGUUAUCCUCUGUUCGGAGGCUAGGCCAGCGCUGCAAAACCUCAAGCCGAGGGGUUGAAAUGUGACCUCUCAGAACCAAGUCACACCUCUCACUGCCACUAUUUUUCAGCCUCCUUAGUUUUUUUUGCCCACCUGGACUGUGUUCUUGAACUCUCAAUUAUGCUUCUUGCCUGAAUGGAGGAUAGACAGAGGCAUCUGAGAGUUUGCAAAACCAGCCUAUUGUAUAAAGAUGAAAUUUACAUUAGGUGCGCCCCCCUCGACCCACACGGAAGGUUGUCCAGAAGGGAAGGUCGCCCACUGUCUCCAAACCGUUCCCCACCCCUGCUAGGUACAUCUGUCAGGUUCCAUUUUUAACUCUGUACUCCAGUUUAGGAGGCCUUCUGCCUACCUUGUAAAUGCUAUAACCAAGGUAAAAGUAAAGGUAAAGGGACCCCUGACCAUUAGGUCCAGUCGUGGACGACUCUGGGGUUGCGGCGCUCAUCUCGCUUUAU